rnacentral:rRNA from 1 species
AAGACCUUGCGCUUUUGGAGCGGCCGAUGCCUGAUUAGCUAGUUGGUGGGGUAAUGGCCUACCAAAGCUUCGAUCAGUAGCUGGUCUGAGAGGACGGCCAGCCACACUGGGACUGAGACACGGCCCAGACUCCUACGGGAGGCAGCAGUGGGGAAUUUUGGACAAUGGGCGCAAGCCUGAUCCAGCCAUGCUGCGUGAGUGAAGAAGGCCUUCGGGUUGUAAAGCUCUUUCAGCCGGGAAGAAAAGGUUGCGAUUAAUAAUCGCAAUUUAUGACGGUACCGGAAGAAGAAGCACCGGCUAACUACGUGCCAGCAGCCGCGGUAAUACGUAGGGUGCGAGCGUUAAUCGGAAUUACUGGGCGUAAAGGGUGCGCAGGCGGUUUUGUAAGUCAGAUGUGAAAUCCCCGGGCUUAACCUGGGAACU